rnacentral:tRNA from 8 species
GGGGCUGUAGCUCAGCUGGGAGAGCAUCGGCUUUGCAAGCCGAGGGUCGUCGGUUCGAUCCCGACCAGCUCCACCA